rnacentral:rRNA from 1 species
UGGGGAAUUUUCCGCAAUGGGCGCAAGCCUGACGGAGCAAUACCGCGUGAGGGAGGAAGGCUCUUGGGUCGUAAACCUCUUUUCUCAGGGAAGAACACAAUGACGGUACCUGAGGAAUCAGCAUCGGCUAACUCCGUGCCAGCAGCCGCGGUAAUACGGAGGAUGCAAGCGUUAUCCGGAAUGAUUGGGCGUAAAGCGUCCGUAGGUGGUUAUGUAAGUCUGUGGUUAAAGCGUGGGGCUCAACCCCAUAAGGGCCAUGGAAACUACAAGACUUGAGUAAAGUAGGGGUAGAGGGAAUUCCCAGUGUAGCGGUGAAAUGCGUAGAGAUUGGGAAGAACACCGGUGGCGAAAGCGCUCUACUGGACUUAAACUGACACUGAGGGACGAAAGCUAGGGGAGCGAAAGGGAUUAGAUACCCCUGUAGUC